rnacentral:rRNA from 1 species
GCGGGACUGCGGCGUGCUACCAUGCAGUCGAACGAUGAUGCCCAGCUUGCUGGGUGGAUUAGUGGCGAACGGGUGAGUAACACGUGAGUAACCUGCCCCUGACUCUGGGAUAAGCGUUGGAAACGACGUCUAAUACUGGAUAUGAUCACUGGCCGCAUGGUCUGGUGGUGGAAAGAUUUUUUGGUUGGGGAUGGACUCGCGGCCUAUCAGCUUGUUGGUGAGGUAAUGGCUCACCAAGGCGACGACGGGUAGCCGGCCUGAGAGGGUGACCGGCCACACUGGGACUGAGACACGGCCCAGACUCCUACGGGAGGCAGCAGUGGGGAAUAUUGCACAAUGGGCGAAAGCCUGAUGCAGCAACGCCGCGUGAGGGAUGACGGCCUUCGGGUUGUAAACCUCUUUUAGUAGGGAAGAAGCGAAAGUGACGGUACCUGCAGAAAAAGCACCGGCUAACUACGUGCCAGCAGCCGCGGUAAUACGUAGGGUGCAAGCGUUGUCCGGAAUUAUUGGGCGUAAAGAGCUCGUAGGCGGUUUGUCGCGUCUGCUGUGAAAUCCCGAGGCUCAACCUCGGGCUUGCAGUGGGUACGGGCAGACUAGAGUGCGGUAGGGGAGAUUGGAAUUCCUGGUGUAGCGGUGGAAUGCGCAGAUAUCAGGAGGAACACCGAUGGCGAAGGCAGAUCUCUGGGCCGUAACUGACGCUGAGGAGCGAAAGCAUGGGGAGCGAACAGGAUUAGAUACCCUGGUAGUCCAUGCCGUAAACGUUGGGCGCUAGAUGUAGGGACCUUUCCACGGUUUCUGUGUCGUAGCUAACGCAUUAAGCGCCCCGCCUGGGGAGUACGGCCGCAAGGCUAAAACUCAAAGGAAUUGACGGGGGCCCGCACAAGCGGCGGAGCAUGCGGAUUAAUUCGAUGCAACGCGAAGAACCUUACCAAGGCUUGACAUACACCGGAAACGGCCAGAGAUGGUCGCCCCCUUGUGGUCGGUGUACAGGUGGUGCAUGGUUGUCGUCAGCUCGUGUCGUGAGAUGUUGGGUUAAGUCCCGCAACGAGCGCAACCCUCGUUCUAUGUUGCCCAGCGGGUUAUGCCGGGGACUCAUAGGAGACUGCCGGGGUCAACUCGGAGGAAGGUGGGGAUGACGUCAAAUCAUCAUGCCCCUUAUGUCUUGGGCUUCACGCAUGCUACAAUGGCCGGUACAAAGGGCUGCGAUACCGUAAGGUGGAGCGAAUCCCAAAAAGCCGGUCUCAGUUCGGAUUGAGGUCUGCAACUCGACCUCAUGAAGUCGGAGUCGCUAGUAAUCGCAGAUCAGCAACGCUGCGGUGAAUACGUUCCCGGGCCUUGUACACACCGCCCGUCAAGUCAUGAAAGUCGGUAACACCCGAAGCCGGUGGCCUAACCCUUGUGGAAGGAGCCGUCGAAGGUGCAUCCGUCCCCC